AAGUGACGCGGUAGAGGAGCGUUCUGUAAGCCUGUGAAGGUGAGUUGAGAAGCUUGCUGGAGGUAUCAGAAGUGCGAAUGCUGACAUGAGUAACGACAAUGGGUGUGAAAAACACCCACGCCGAAAGACCAAGGGUUCCUGCGCAACGUUAAUCGACGCAGGGUUAGUCGGUUCCUAAGGCGAGGCUGAAAAGCGUAGUCGAUGGGAAACAGGUUAAUAUUCCUGUACUUCUGGUUACUGCGAUGGAGGGACGGAGAAGGCUAGGCCAGCUUGGCGUUGGUUGUCCAAGUUUAAGGUGGUAGGCUGAAAUCUUAGGUAAAUCCGGGGUUUCAAGGCCGAGAGCUGAUGACGAGUCGUCUUUUAGAUGACGAAGUGGUUGAUGCCAUGCUUCCAAGAAAAGCUUCUAAGCUUCAGGUAACCAGGAACCGUACCCCAAACCGACACAGGUGGUCGGGUAGAGAAUACCAAGGCGCUUGAGAGAACUCGGGUGAAGGAACUAGGCAAAAUGGCACCGUAACUUCGGGAGAAGGUGCGCCGGCUAGGGUGAAGGAUUUACUCCGUAAGCUCUGGCUGGUCGAAGAUACCAGGCCGCUGCGACUGUUUAUUAAAAACACAGCACUCUGCAAACACGAAAGUGGACGUAUAGGGUGUGACGCCUGCCCGGUGCCGGAAGGUUAAUUGAUGGGGUUAGCGCAAGCGAAGCUCUUGAUCGAAGCCCCGGUAAACGGCGGCCGUAACUAUAACGGUCCUAAGGUAGCGAAAUUCCUUGUCGGGUAAGUUCCGACCUGCACGAAUGGCGUAACGAUGGCGGCGCUGUCUCCACCCGAGACUCAGUGAAAUUGAAAUCGCUGUGAAGAUGCAGUGUAUCCGCGGCUAGACGGAAAGACCCCGUGAACCUUUACUGUAGCUUUGCACUGGACUUUGAGCCUGCUUGUGUAGGAUAGGUGGGAGGCUUUGAAGCGUGGACGCCAGUUCGCGUGGAGCCAUCCUUGAAAUACCACCCUGGCAUGCUUGAGGUUCUAACUCUGGUCCGUGAUCCGGAUCGAGGACAGUGUAUGGUGGGCAGUUUGACUGGGGCGGUCUCCUCCUAAAGAGUAACGGAGGAGUACGAAGGUGCGCUCAGACCGGUCGGAAAUCGGUCG
rnacentral:rRNA from 2 species